GACGAACGCUGGCGGCGUGCUUAACACAUGCAAGUCGAACGGAAAGGCCCUGCUUUUGUGGGGUGCUCGAGUGGCGAACGGGUGAGUAACACGUGAGUAACCUGCCCUUGACUUUGGGAUAACUUCAGGAAACUGGGGCUAAUACCGGAUAGGAGCUCCUGCUACAUGGUGGGGGUUGGAAAGUUUCGGCGGUUGGGGAUGGACUCGCGGCUUAUCAGCUUGUUGGUGGGGUAGUGGCUUACCAAGGCUUUGACGGGUAGCCGGCCUGAGAGGGUGACCGGCCACAUUGGGACUGAGAUACGGCCCAGACUCCUACGGGAGGCAGCAGUGGGGAAUAUUGCACAAUGGGCGGAAGCCUGAUGCAGCAACGCCGCGUGCGGGAUGACGGCCUUCGGGUUGUAAACCGCUUUCGCCUGUGACGAAGCGUGAGUGACGGUAAUGGGUAAAGAAGCACCGGCUAACUACGUG
rnacentral:rRNA from 1 species